rnacentral:rRNA from 1 species
UACGGAGGGUGCGAGCGUUGUCCGGAAUCACUGGGCGUAAAGGGCGCGUAGGCGGCCUGAUAAGUAGGGGGUGAAAUCCUGCGGCUUAACCGCAGGGCUGCCUUCUAAACUGUCAGGCUAGAGCACAGUAGAGGCAGGUGGAAUUCCCGGUGUAGCGGUGGAAUGCGUAGAGAUCGGGAAGAACAUCAGUGGCGAAGGCAGCUCACUGGGACGGUAUUGACGCUGAGACGCGAAAGCGUGGGGAGCAAACAGG